GGGCUCACUUCAGAAGCACAUAUACUAACAUUGGUACAAUACAGAGAAGACUAGCAUGGCCCUGUGCAAGACUGACAACACAUUUGUAAAUUGUUCCAUAUUUAA